GCUGGGGACAAUGACCCAUCACGGUGGGGCAGCGCAGCGCCUGGCGGGUGUCCCCGGGGGUGGCCCACGGGCUCCAUGGCUCACUGAGAAGCCACGAAGAGCGCCUGCCUCGAGGAGACACGGUGCCUGCAAAGGCCAGCCCACCUCCGGAAACCACCAACACACCAAGAGAAGCACAGGACCGUGUAUGUGUGCGCGCGCGUGUUACAUGCGUAUGACACGCAUGUGCACGGUGUGGCAGGCACAGGACACACGUGUGCACACACGUGUUACGUGCACCGGACGCCGUGUGCUUGUGCGUUACACACAGGACACGUGCAGGCACGUGGGUUGCAUGGCAGGACACGUGUGCGCACGCGUGUCACGUGCACAGGACACGUCUGUGUGUGUUACCUGCACACACCGAGGUGCGCACACGCUGGCAAAGGCUUGCGGUCCCCACCUGACCACUGUGGGGACCUGCAGAACGAAGAUGGGCUUUGGAGGACGGCAGGCCUGGGUCGAACCCCAUCCCAAUCUUCACCAGCUAGUUGAACGCGAGGGCUCCGCUUCGGGCCCAGCGCCUCCCCUGGCUGAAUGGAGCCGGCGAGAACCCCCGCCCGGCAGGCAUUUCUGAGACUCAGAAAUAAACCAAGGACUGCCAGCAGGUAUGGGGUGCUCUCUGUGAACCGAGCGCCGUGCUAAGCGUGCACUGUGCGUGUUCCUCCAAGGUGGGGACACUUACUGCGCCCAUUUUACAGAGGAGGAAAUGGGGCCACGGAGAGACGAAAUGGGGCCACGGAGAGACGAAAUGGCUUGCCUUGGAUCAACACAGCCAGGAAACGAAACCGACUGGGUCUGAGCCCUAGCCUCAGGCCCAGAGCUCACGCUCCUCUGUACUCUGCUUUCUCGAACGGGAAAGGUGCCCAGCGUGGUGCGGGCGCCCUGGGCGCGCACUGCUCCCAGUACAACCACCAUCACCCUCGCUUCUCUGCCGUUGAAUCGCAGGGCAGGGGCUGCUCUGCCUUGCCGACCUUUAAGGGCACCCAGACCGGCGUCAGCCACGUUCUCGGAGCUGCUGGUACUUUUCCUUGAAAUAAACAAGCCACAACAAAGCACUUCUAUUAACGAAUGGAAGGAGCCUCAGGGAGCCCGCAGAAGACGGCGGAAGGAAGCACCCGUGUCUCUCGUCUCUCUCGUUCAGGUUCGGCAGCGAGGGAAGGCGGCCUCAGCGGCUGGGAAGGGCAGAGCCUGAACCCAAAAUUCGGAAAAAGCAGAAGCAGUCACUUGAAAAUGAGGCGGGGGAGGGGGGCGUGGGGAAGAACCCUCAGAACCGAUUACAUCAUAACGUGAGCAAAUUCACAAAAUAAACAGUCACCGUUUUCAAAUUA